rnacentral:rRNA from 1 species
CCUACGGGUGGCAGCAGUGAGGAAUAUUGGUCAAUGGGCGCGAGCCUGAACCAGCCAAGUCGCGUGAAGGAUGACUGCCCUACGGGUUGUAAACUUCUUUUAUCAAGGAAUAAUGUGAGGCAUGUGUGCCUUUUUGUAUGUACUUUAUGAAUAAGGCUUGGCUAACUUCGUGCCAGCAGCCGCGGUUAUACGGAGGGUCCGAGCGUUUACCGGAUUUAUUGGGUUUAAAGGGAGGGUAGAGGGGUAGAUAAGUCAGGUGUGAAAGUUUGCGGCUCAACCGUAAAAGUGCAAUUGAUACUGGCGGCCUUGAGUACAGUUGAGGUAGGCGGAAUGCGUGGUGUAGCGGUGAAAUGCAUAGAUAUCACGAAGAACUCCGAUUGCGAAGGCAGCAUACUAAACUGCCACUGACAUUGAUGCUCGAAAGUGUGGGUAUCAAACAGGAUUAGAUACCCGAGUAGUC